GGGUGGAUAGUAGAUCAGGUCAGGUUCGGCAGCAGCAUUAAGCGGCGCCAGGGCCUGCAGCCCGUGAUCUUCAGGUUCUGGCUUGGUGGUGGCGGUGAAAGGGCGCAUGUUGGUGAGCGAAGGCGAGGCUAUCCGCCACAGCAGGUUCUUGAGCGCCUUGCGGAACUCGCGGCGCACUAAGCAGUAGAGGAUCGGGUUGAGGCAGCUGUUGGAGUGCGCCAGGCACACGCUGACUGGGAACGCGUACACUUGGCACUGAAAGUACUCCUGGCUGAAGGGCACGGCGUUGAACUUGAUGAGGAUGCUCCAGGUGGUAAGCGCCUGGUUGGGCAGCCAACACAGGAAGAAGGAGAGGACGACGAUGGUCACCGACUUGGUGACCUUGGAGCGUCUCCUAGCGCUGGCUGUACUCAGGCCUCCCCCAGGCGCUGCUGCUGCUCCUACUGCAUCUGUUGUCCCAACUACGCGACGGUCGGAGAUGAAGCGCACAAGCAACAGGUAACACAGACUGAUGAUGCUCAGCGGCAGCAGGAAGCCCAGCAGCACCUUCUGCAGGUGGUACAAACCCAGCCAGAACUGCCUGUCCCAGCCCAGUAGCUUGUCUGGAAAGUGCAUGAGGCAGAGCUCCUCACCCAACACCCUGAUGGUGGUGGAAAAAAUGGCAUUGGGCAGCGAGGCCAGCGCAGCCGAAGCCCAGAUCAACCCACACAGCACCUUGGCUGAAAAACAGCAGCUCUCCCUCAAGCUCUGGCCGCAGCAGUCGCCACGGCCACGCCCUCGGGUCCGAUGGCUCUUGAGAGCCGAGGCCACCGAGUGGUAGCGCGCCACGCUCAUAGCAGUGAGGAAGAAGACGCUGGCGUACAUGUUCAUGGAUGUCACCAUGGACACGAUCUUACACAUGGCCUUGCCGAAGGGCCACUUGAAGUCUAGUGCGUUCUCCACAGCCCAAAAGGGCAGAGUGAGCACGAACUGAAAGUCAGUCAGUGCCAGGUUAGUGACAAAGAGGUUGAUGGAGGAUUUGCGCCAGCCUUGCUUGCUCUUCAUCAGGUAGAGAACCAGCAGGUUGCCGGCCAGUCCCAGGGCACAAACCACCCAGUAAACCGCGCUGAUGAGGAUCCGUACCCUGGCCUCAGUGUCUGUGCUCUCUGCCCCGCCGCCACCCGGAGGAUGCCCAGGCGCCGCACCGUCUGGCAACUCUAGCCCCAGCUCCCACCACAGAUCCUGAAGCUGCAGCGACGCAUUGCCGCUGGCGUUGGCCACUUCCAGCAAGUCUGGGGUCAGAGCGAAGAAUUCUGAGAGCUCAUCACCCGCAGCUGCUUUCCUCACGGUGGCCGCGGGGGUUGCAGAAGCCACCUGCAUGCUCAGGUGCGCCUUAGUCACGUUCUGCAAGCCGACUACCGAGAGUCAGCGCUUGCUCCGGGUGUGGUACCCAGGCGGGCGCGCAAAGCAGGUGCCUGAGCUUUCUAUGUAGACGCUCAAAAGGGCUCCUGGAAACUGGAUGCUGAGCCGCGUUGGCGCCCAGAACCGCCUUGGGCGCAGGGGUUGGCUGCACUCAGCAUCAGUUCUUGGUGGGUUUAGAAGAGAGGAUAGUUCUAGGCAAGUGGCUGGGGAUCAAGGUUCCUCCUGGUGAGAACUGAGUCUCCAGCUACCUACUCUAAGACUGAGUCAUACCCCUCUGCUUUCCUGCUGUCACUUAGAUGCAGUCCCCUACUCAGGAGCACGGCUCUCCCAGUACCUUUGUUGGCUUCUGAGGUUGCCCGGAGGAGUUUCUCUCCUUCUAGAGGAAAACAGAUCGUGGACAUCUGUGUCUCGCUCUGACUGCCUGAAGGCUGAUUCACGCCAUCACUUCCUGGAGCUCCGUUGGUGUUUUCUGUGUGUCCGAUAUUGUCAACCCCCAGUGAGUUGCCAGCGUUUGAUGAGUUACAUUGGCACCCACCUCUGCUGAGAGCCCCGAAGAGCUUGCAUAAUCUCCGUGCGAGAAGAUGGGGGUGCUUUCCGAAGUGCUGAACCCCGCGCGCCACGCAGGGAGAGGCAGAGUCUACUGGCAACUAACUCCCCUUUGUUCCAAGUUGCAGAAGGAGUGGUCUUAGUCUUUUAUUUUCUCGGUGUCUGGAGUGAGUCUGAGUCUGCUUUCUUCCUUUCUUAUUUUUAUUAGGACGAGGUUUUUUUUUCUCCUUUCUCCCCACCUUAACACAAUAGUUUGUUUCUCCCACUUACACAAUAGUAACACCCUUUGUUCUUUAAAUCAAAUAACCAAUCUUUUCCUAGUACUCAAACUGAAGCCCCAUCUCCCCUCUAAUUAGCUGAACACUUACCUGGUGUCAGAUUGGCAGAAUUCUAAGGGUUGAUGUUUGCCUGGAAUUGAGUAUAUUUUAAGAACUGAAGCUACAGGGGGCCGUGGGGAGGGGGAGACGUGUUACGUCUCAACUUUGCAGUUUAUUUAGAUGCCAGGUUAGUUGCUCUUAGAAGGACUUAAGGAAGCUGAAGUGUUUUCUUGACAGAAGAACUAACCUGAAAAACAAGUAUGCUAAGCAUGCAGUAAUUGCCCUCACUUCUGGGAUAAUACUUGACUUUACUAACAGUAAUUGGGGAUAUACGGACAGAUGGAGCGAAAGAGAUAAAGACUUGUAAUCAGUCAAAGGAACAAUAAAAGAGAAAAGAGGUCCUCGGCAACCUUAAACAGUCUUAAUUCCAAAGUGGACUUUAAAAGGGCACUUCGCUGCAGACGCUGCAUUUCUCGAUUUUACCAAUAGAGGUCGCAAGAGCUUCAGUAAAAAAAAAAAUCAACUGGCCUUCGAUCAGUUUUAAUAUGUUGAAGUUCUCUGCCCUGGUAAUUCUGUGCUUCUGUGGACCCCUCCUUGCAUCCUGGCUUUAUAGCCUCGCCUUCAAGCGCACGUUCUCACUUUAAAAAAGCGUUUUCUUCCUCUGCCAAUUUCUUUCUUUUUUAUUGUAUUUCAAGGGCUACUGAAAACCAAGGAAACCUGUGGUGAUACGGAAAGUCCUAUGCAGUAAAGGUCUUAGUCUGCUCAC
rnacentral:lncRNA from 1 species